UACGGAGGGUGCAAGCGUUGUCCGGAAUCACUGGGCGUAAAGCGCUCGUAGGCGGCUUGUUAAGUCGGGGGUGAAAUCCUGAGGCUCAACCUCAGAACUGCCUCCGAUACUGGCAAUCUCGAGUUCGGAAGAGGUUGGUGGAACAGCUAGUGUAGAGGUGAAAUUCGUAGAUAUUAGGAAGAACACCGGUGGCGAAGGCGGCCCACUGGUCCGGUACUGACGCUGAGGUGCGAAAGCGUGGGGAGCAAACAGG
rnacentral:rRNA from 1 species